UAUUUAUUAGAUAAAAAACCAAUGCCCUCCGGGGCUCCUUGGUGAAUCAUAAUAACUUAACGAAUCGCAUGGCCUUGUGCCGGCGAUGGUUCAUUCAAAUUUCUGCCCUAUCAACUUUCGAUGGUAGGAUAGUGGCCUACCAUGGUUUCAACGGGUAACGGGGAAUUAGGGUUCGACUCCGGAGAGGGAGCCUGAGAAACGGCUACCACAUCCAAGGAAGGCAGCAGGCGCGCAAAUUACCCAAUCCCGACACGGGGAGGUAGUGACAAUAAAUACUGAUACAGGGCUCUUUCGGGUCUUGUAAUUGGAAUGAGUACAAUUUAAAUCCCUUAACGAGGAACAAUUGGAGGGCAAGUCUGGUGCCAGCAGCCGCGGUAAUUCCAGCUCCAAUAGCGUAUAUUAAAGUUGUUGCAGUUAAAAAGCUCGUAGUUGAACCUUGGGCCUGGCUGGCCGGUCCGCCUCACCGCGUGUACUGGUCCGGCCGGGCCUUUCCUUCUGGGGAGCCGCAUGGCCUUCACUGGCCGUGUCGGGGAACCAGGACUUUUACUUUGAAAAAAUUAGAGUGUUCAAAGCAGG
rnacentral:rRNA from 1 species